AGCACUUUCACUCGAUGUGCUGCCCAAGUUAAGCUGGGUGAGGAAUUAUUCCUGAUGUGUUUUCCAGCGCCGGGCUUGGGGCAGAGGGAGAGAAGAUAUUUGUUUGCUUGAUUCCACAUGACAACUCCAGGGUAACUGAAUAGGCUGUACGGUCGGCUUGACAGGGCUGAGCACCCGCCAGCAGCCUGGCUCACAUACCAGAGCCAGGGGGAUGGAAGGGGCACUGGCAGCUGGGAUGGAGCCCAUCCCAAUUCCUCCACAGAGCGCCAAUUUGCCAUCAAUUAUUCAUGGCUUUCCCAGGUCUCGCUUCUGAGAGUGCCUUUCAUCCACAGCACUCUGUGUGAUCCAUGAGUUAAGCAUGGCAGCAUGGCUGAGAGACUGGGGCCACGGAAGCCUUGAAACACAGCCCAGAUUUAUCCUUCAUAUGAAGCCGGUUGCUCGUGGCCGGGCGUGCUCCCGUUGUGUGCCCAGCUGAGUGCCCAUGGUGCCUGCAGAGGGCGGCUGAGCAGGGCCAUGCAUCACCUCUUCGGGCUGGUGCUGGCACACAAGGACCUGUCCCGGGCGGGGGAUCUCUUCUCCCUGGAGGACGCUGAGAUCGAAGGGAGCCUCUCCGAAGCUCUUGAGCAGAUCAGAAUCAUUAGUUCAGCUGCAGACUACCAGACCAACGACAACGACCAGGCCGUGGUGGAGAUCUGCAUCACGCGCAUCACCACGGCCAUCAGGGAGACCGCGUCCAUCGAGAGGCACGGCAGGGCCCUGGUGGCUCUCUGGGAGUCCUGCCUGGAGCACAACCUGACGCCCUCCGGCAGGGAUGAGGAUGCCCCACAUGCCAAAAUUGCAUCUGACAUCAUGAGCUGCAUCCUGCAGAAUUACAACCGGCCUCCAGUGAUGGCCUUGGCUGUGCCAGUGGCAGUGAAGUUCCUGCAGAGGGGCAACAAGGAGCUGUGCAGGAACAUGUCCAGCUACCUGUCCUUGGCUGCCAUUGCCAAGGCUGAGCUGCUGGCUGAGCACACAGAAACCAUCGUCAGGAGUGUCCUGCAAGGGAACUGGAUGCUGCUGCGGGUGCUGCCCGCGCUCUACGAGAAGCAGCCGCGGCCGAUCCGCGCCCGCCUGCCCGAGCUGGUGGCGCCCAUGGCCCAGCUGGACCCGCCCGAGCAGCUCCACCUCCUCAGGCUCCUGCACACCGUGGCCAGGAAGAGAGAACUGGGGGUGCUGAGAGAGUGUUUGCCAUUUUUAUUUGCACACCUGAGGGACCCCAACCACAGCGAGGUGAUUCUAAACAUCCUUCUGGAAAUAUCCAGCUACGAACCUGCAGCCUUGGCCCCUUUCCUUCCCACGUUGAGGGAAAUUGGGGAGAGUUUUCCCAGUUUGAUUGGGCAGACAGCAAAGAUCUUUGGAGCUGUUGGACAUCUCGAUGAGGAGCAAGCCAGAGCCUCCCUGCUGUAUCUGGUGAACCAGCUGGCCAACAUGGAGCACUCCUUUCACCACCUCCUGCUGCUGGAGAUCAAGAGCCUCACCGACAGCUUCUCGAGCAUCCUGGGCUCCCAGAGCAGGGACAUUUACCGCAUGAGCAACAGCUUCUCUGCCAUCGCCCGGCUGCUGGCGCGGCAGCUGGGCACCGACGGCACCGCGGCUGCCGCCAGGAUGGAAAAGGACCCUGAGGCAGAAUGUCCUGUACCACUGGAUGAUUUAAAAUCUGUCGUGAACGGCAGUGAAGAAGAUGAAAAGCUGCAAGUUAAAAUCCAGGCUUUUGAAGAGAAAAUCAAUGUGGACAACAGCACCCCUGGCUCAGUGAGGAGAUACAGCCUGGGCCAGGUCUCUAAAGAAGAAAGGAAGGAUAUGAGGUUUAACAGGUCCAAGAGCCUGGCCCUGCACACGCUCAGGGUGAAGGGGCUGAGCUCAGAGGGAGGGACAGACGAGGACGGUGGGGACAUCCCUGCUGGCAUCUCCUUCUCCGAGCUCUGCCUCGGCCAGGAGCAGCAGCAGGAGCCUUUUGGGGUGCAGCCCGAGGCAGGGCUCCUGGGGGGCUCCCUGCUUUCACAGCACGGUGCUGACCAGCCCCAGGCAGGCAGCGUGCCAGAGCUGAGCCCAGAAAAGGCCCUGCAGGGACGGGCAGAGGCAGCCACGGGCCCUGUGCAGCACCAGGACAAGCUGUACCUGCACCUGAAGGAGAACCUGGGCAAGGUCAAGGAGUUUGUGAUGGAGAUGGGGAGGAGGAUUCCCGUCCCUGAGCAGUGUGUGAUCGAAGAUUCUGUUCAAAGCUGUGUGGCAAAGCUGUUCUUCAGCUGUCCCCUGAAGGGCCACUACUGCCUGUACAGCAAAUCCAGCUUCACCCUGGUGAGCCAGCAGCCUCCCCUCUGGAUCCACAUCAUGUUCCUGUUCCAGCAGAGCCUGUUUGCAGAACCUCUGUCCAUGCACAGCAGCUCUGUGCAAGUCCUCAAGGCGCUGUGGGAGAAGACCCAGCUCAAGGGCACGCACAGCUUUGAGACUGCCAUGAUCCAGAGCACCUUCCCUCACCAGAAGGACCUGGAGAGCGUUCAGAUGCACCUGGAGGAGGUGAGGUUCUUUGACUUGUUUGGCUACAGCGAGGAGGCAGGAGCCUGGCAGUGCUUCAUGUGCAACAACCCCGAGAAGGCAACAGGCAUGAACCAGGACGGGCAGCCCCUGAUGGAGGGCAGGCUGAAGGAGAAGCAGGUCCGCUGGAAGUUCAUCAAGAGGUGGAAAACGCGCUACUUCACCCUGGCUGGCAACCAGCUGCUGUUCCGCAGGGGCAAAUCCAAGGACGACCCUGACGAGUGUCCCAUCGAGCUGAGCAAGGUGCAGAGUGUCAAGGUGCUGCCCAAGAAGCGGCGGGACCGGAGCGUGCCCCGCGCCUUCGAGAUCUUCACGGACAGCAGGAGCUACGUGCUCAAGGCCAAGGACGAGAAGAACGCUGAGCAGUGGCUGCAGUGCCUCAACGUGGCCGUGGCCCAGGCCCGCCAGCGCCACAGCCGCGAGGCCACCACCUACCUGUGACCUGUGACACUGGGCCAUCACCUACCUGUGACCUGUGACACUGGGGCCACCACCUACCUGUGACACUGGGCCACCACCUACCUGUGACCCUGCACCACCUACCUGUGACCUGUGACACUGGGCCACCACCUACCUGUGACACUGGGCCACCACCUACCUGUGACCCUGCACCACCUACCUGUGACCUGUGACCCUCGGCCACCACCAACCUGUGACCCUGGAGCCAAUCCCUGCCUGUGACCCUGCACCACCUACCUGUG